AAUGAACGCUGGCGGCGCGCCUAAUACAUGCAAGUCGAGCGAGAAGACGUAGCAAUACGUUUGUAAAGCGGCGAACGGGUGAGGAAUACAUGGGUAACCUACCCUCGAGUGGGGAAUAACUAGCCGAAAGGUUAGCUAAUACCGCGUACGCUCCUUGGACUUCGGUUCAGGGAGGAAAGCGAUACCGUGGGUACCGCGCUCUUGGUUGGGCUCAUGUCCUAUCAGCUUGUUGGUGAGGAACGGCUCACCAAGGCUUCGACGGGUAGCUGGUCUGAGAGGACGAUCAGCCACACUGGCACUGCGACACGGGCCAGACUCCUACGGGAGGCAGCAGUAAGGAAUAUUGCGCAAUGGGCGAAAGCCUGACGCAGCGACGCCGCGUGGGGGAUGAAGGUCUUCGGAUUGUAAACCCCUUUCGGGAGGGAAGAUGGAACGAGCAAUCGUUCGGACGGUACCUCCAGAAGCAGCC
rnacentral:rRNA from 1 species